UGGGGAAUAUUGGACAAUGGGCGCAAGCCUGAUCCAGCAAUGCCGCGUGAGUGAUGAAGGCCUUCGGGUUGUAAAGCUCUUUCGCACGCGACGAUGAUGACGGUAGCGUGAGAAGAAGCCCCGGCUAACUUCGUGCCAGCAGCCGCGGUAAUACGAAGGGGGCUAGCGUUGUUCGGAAUUACUGGGCGUAAAGGGCGCGUAGGCGGUACUUCAAGUCAGGCGUGAAAGCCCCGGGCUCAACCUGGGAACCGCGCUUGAGACUGGAGAACUAGAGUUCGGGAGAGGAUGGUGGAAUUCCCAGUGUAGAGGUGAAAUUCGUAGAUAUUGGGAAGAACACCGAUGGCGAAGGCAGCCAUCUGGACCGACACUGACGCUGAGGCGCGAAAGCGUGGGGAGCAAACAGGAUUAGAUACCCUGGUAGUCCACGCCGUAAACGAUGAGUGCUAGACGUUGGGGCCCUUAGGGCUUCGGUGUCGCAGCUAACGCAUUAAGCA
rnacentral:rRNA from 1 species